rnacentral:rRNA from 1 species
CGCAUCUGUGCAUGCAGCAUAUCAAUAAGCGGAGGAAAAGAAACUAACAAGGAUUCCCUUAGUAACGGCGAGUGAAGCGGGAAGAGCUCAAAUUUGAAAUCUUCAAGGUUUUACCUUGACGAAUUGUAGUUUAAAGAAGUGUUUUCUGUUGAAGUUUUGGUAAAAGUUCUUUGGAAUAGGACAUCAUAGAGGGUGAGAAUCCCGUAUUUGACCAUUAUUUUCAGCUGUGUGAUACGCUUUCAAAGAGUCGGAUUGUUUGGGAAUGCAGUCCAAAAUGGGUGGUAAAUUUCAUCUAAAGCUAAAUAUUGGCGAGAGACCGAUAGCGAACAAGUACCGUGAGGGAAAGAUGAAAAGAACUUUGAAAAGAGAGUUAAACAGUACGUGAAAUUGUCAAAAGGGAAGCGUUUGACACCAGUGUUGUUUUCUCGAAAAUCAAUUAAAAAGAGUUAGAUUUUGUUGUGUAUUGACCUUAACAGCUUGCAUUCACUCUUUCUCUGCUUUUUUUAAUGCACUUUUCGUUUAACAAGUCAACAUCAGUUUCUUUUGUUGUAAAAGGUCAUUGGAAGGUGGCUUUCUUUUCGGAGAAAGUGUUUAUAGCCUUUGACUCCUGCAAUCGGAGAGACUGAGGUCUGCAGCGUAGAUCCUUCGGGAUUAGAUUACAUUUGUGCUAAGUUACUAGCCUUUUAUAGACAACUUGUUGACUAUGAUUCGAUCCUGUAGCUUACUCGCUUAUGCUACUUUACCUACGCUUAGGAUGUUGACAGCACGCGCGUGCUCG